rnacentral:rRNA from 1 species
GGGGAAUAUUGCACAAUGGGCGAAAGCCUGAUGCAGCAACGCCGCGUGAGUGGUGAAGGCCUUCGGGUUGUAAAGCUCUGUCUUUGGGGACGAUAAUGACGGUACCCAAGGAGGAAGCCACGGCUAACUACGUGCCAGCAGCCGCGGUAAUACGUAGGUGGCGAGCGUUGUCCGGAUUUACUGGGCGUAAAGGAUGCGUAGGCGGAUAUUUAAGUGAGAUGUGAAAUACCCGGGCUUAACUUGGGUGCUGCAUUUCAAACUGGAUAUCUAGAGUGCGGGAGAGGAGAAUGGAAUUCCUAGUGUAGCGGUGAAAUGCGUAGAGAUUAGGAAGAACACCAGUGGCGAAGGCGAUUCUCUGGACCGUAACUGACGCUGAGGCAUGAAAGCGUGGGUAGCAAAC